AUGUAUAUCUUGAACGGUGCCGAUAAGUCCACCAAAUCUGACGGUGAUGCGAGACCACAACAAAGCGUAGCGCCAUCCCGAAAUUUACAUCCUCUCUCAAUCAAUCAAUCAACGAAGACGACGCGCCACCUCGAAAGAAACAAAAUUUCACAAUUUUUGGCUCCCACCCGCGCCAUCGAUCUGGAAAUUAGCCCCCUCGCUUGGCCAAAAUUUCCAGAGUUCAAAAUUGAAAAUGAAAAGGAAAAAAAGAGAAGCACACCGCACCCAACCCCUCUCAUCUCUUCCUCUCCCGACCGCCGCCGCUCUUCUUUCUCUCCCUCUCCCUCUCGCACCCAACGCCUCUUCCUCUUCCUCUCCCUCUCCCUCUCCCGGUGA
rnacentral:rRNA from 1 species